CGGGUGCUGCAGUGGAUGUCACCAGUGAAGCACAGCAGUGGUUGAAGAGUUAUUUGGGGUGCACUGAGCAGCAGUGUCCCCACUCAGGGCUGCAUCUCGCCUCUGACCACAUCUAGCCAGGAAGGACAUUGUCCCUACAGAAUGGGCACAAAAUUAAAAUUCUACUACUCACCCUGUUCUGGUUGCCUACAGCAUCUGGAUGCUAUCAAUGUGGGCAGCAGAGCAGCCCUGUCACACAGGAUUAAUGGCAGAGUGUGGUGUCGCUUAUGGAAGCAAAGAUGAGAAUGUAUCAGGAAGCCACAGGACUCCUCAAGAAAUGCAUCGUGAGGUUUAAAACUUAGUGUACAAUGAAGGAAAGUAUCACAUUAAAAUGAAGCCUUCUGUUUCUAAUUAAGAGAUAAAUUAGAUGUGUGC